rnacentral:rRNA from 1 species
GACGAAGGUGGCGAGCGUUGUUCGGAAUCACUGGGCAUAAAGCGCACGUAGGCGGCGGCGUAAGUCGGGUGUGAAAUCCCUCGGCCUAACCGAGGAACUGCGCCCGAUACUGCGUUGCUUGAGGAUCAGAGGGGUGCACGGAAUUUCCGGUGGAGCGGUGAAAUGCGUUGAUAUCGGAAGGAACGUCGGCGGCGAAAGCGGUGCACUGGCGUGAUCUCUGACGCUGGAGGUGACGAAAGCGUGGGGAGCAAACAGG